rnacentral:rRNA from 1 species
CUGCGCCUUGCCAGCCCGCUCAGAAACUUAAAGGAAGUUGACGGGGGCCCGCACAAGCGGAGGAACAUGUGGUUUAAUUCGAUGAUACGCGAGGAACCUUACCUGGGCUAGAACGCAUUCGGAAUCAGGCCGAAAGGUCUGCGCCAGCGAUGGCCGGUUGCGAGGUGCUGCAUGGUUGUCGUCAGCUCGUGCCGUGAGGUGUCGGGUUAAGUCCCAUAACGAGCGCAACCCCUACUGCUAGUUGCCAGCGGGUCAUGCCGGGGACUCUAGCGGAACUGCCAGCGUAAGCUGCGAGGAAGUGGGGAUGACGUCAAAUCAGCACGGCCCUUACGUCCAGGGCUACACACGUGUUACAAUGGCCAGUACAGAGGGCAGCCACCCCGCGAGGGGCGCUAAUCCUAAAAGCUGGUCCCAGUUCGGAUCGGAGUCUGCAACCCGACUCCGUGAAGCUGGAUUCGCUAGUAAUCGCGCAUCAGCCACGGCGCGGUGAAUACGUUCCCGGGCCUU